UUGGCCGUCUCGGAACGGAAAUGCACACCGGCGAGUUCCGGUGACCGCCUCGGCGGCAAAGGCGACGGAAUGGAGGAGGUGCCUCACGACUGCCCCGGGACCGACAGCGCCGAGGCGGGCCGAGGGACCGCAUGUCAGGGGUGCCCCAACCAGCGGCUGUGUGCCUCUGGCGCCGGCGCCGCUCCGGACCCGGCCAUAGAGGAAAUUAAAGAGAAAAUGAAAACCGUGAAACACAAAAUCUUGGUGCUAUCUGGGAAAGGCGGCGUUGGGAAAAGCACAUUCAGUGCCCACCUCGCCCAUGGCCUGGCAGAGGAUGAAAACACACAGAUUGCUCUCCUAGACAUUGAUAUAUGUGGGCCAUCGAUUCCCAAGAUAAUGGGAUUGGAAGGAGAACAGGUUCAUCAGAGCGGCUCGGGCUGGUCUCUGGUGUACGUGGAAGACAACCUGGGGGUGAUGUCGGUUGGCUUCUUGCUCAGCAGUCCUGAUGACGCUGUUAUCUGGAGGGGACCGAAGAAAAACGGCAUGAUCAAGCAGUUCCUCCGGGAUGUGGACUGGGGGGAGAUUGACUACCUCAUCGUGGACACGCCGCCCGGGACCUCCGACGAGCACCUCUCGGUCGUUCAUUAUCUCUCAGCAGCACACAUUGACGGAGCUGUGGUAAUUACCACUCCCCAGGAAAUAUCACUCCAGGAUGUCCGGAAAGAAAUCAACUUCUGCCACAAGGUGAAGCUGCCUAUCAUCGGGGUGGUGGAGAACAUGAGUGGCUUCGUCUGCCCUAAGUGCAAGAAAGAAGCACAGAUCUUCCCUCCAACGACGGGGGGCGCAGAGGCCAUGUGCCAGGACCUGAAGAUCCCUCUCCUUGGCAGAGUGCCUCUGGAUCCUCAGAUAGGUAGGAAAGAGUUGUGACAAAGGACAGUCUUUUUUGACUGAAGCCCCGGAUUCACCAGCUACAUUAGCCUACAGAAGUAUAAUCCAAAGAAUCCAAGAGUUUUGUAGUCUGCAGCCUUCACACGAGGAGAAGCUCAUUGGUUCCUGAAAUGUGGAAAACAUGAAGGACGAAAGAGAGCACCAAGCUGAGGCGCUCAGCCAGCAGUACUCUCGGGGCAGAGUGGGGUCACAGGGGUACAGGGACCAGGCUCAGGCAUGGUUUGAAGUCACCUCUUCAGAGACACUUUAAUCUAAUUUUUGUACACUUUCCUUUAGAAUAUAUGUAAAGAGCAUUCUUGACAAAUCUGCCGUUUUAAAAAUAAAAAUUUCUCCUCCUCCAAAACUUCUCCAAGGCUUCCUUCACAUGAAAAACACACGGGAUUAUGGGAUUACGAAAUCUUCUUUGUUAGAAGUUAUUCAGUUAGCGAACCCUUCACUGAAGCCAUCUCUGCCCCUCAAGAGAAACCUAAAAAAGGACCAAAGGGAUAAACGUGUUGCUUAAUUGCAAAAUACACACUCACGUUUUCAAACAGCAUAGUCUAAAUAGUUACCCUUCAAAUUGAGCAAAGUUAAAAUGGCGGUAGAGCCUCAUGCCGGGGAUCAGUUCCGAGGUCAGCACAUACGAUGAAGAGAGGUGUCACCAAGAUGGCCCUUGAAAAGCUCUCAAAUUGCCCAUAUAGGACAGACUUUGUGGUUGUGUAUACACCCUGCAUAGUAUAUGUAUAUAAUCAAUCCAGUAAUUUCCUGUGUUUUUUUAUAACGUGCAGUAAGGAUUUAUAUUUUUUUAUAACGUGCGGUAAGAAACUGCGUCUGUAGUGAGUUGGCAUACAAAAUAGCGGAUGAUGGUUUUAAUCACAGAGGAGAGACAGACGUAAACCCUGGAAUCACCCUGCUGCCCUGAGCCCCACAGGAACUGAGAGCAGUGUGGGGGAGAGAGUGAAUUCCUGUUUUCCAUCUCUCUCCGGGGCACAGAAGCAGAAGGAUGAGAAAUCCCCUUGUUCUUUCCCACCCCUUCUUUUAUUCCCCCUCCCUUUCCACUCCUUUGUGCCUGCUACUAUGGUAGAAUUUGCACAAGUUCAACGGGAGGAAGCUAGGACCCCUGCGCCACAAUGGGUAAUGAUGGUGCAGAGCCCAGGGGAAGGAGGCCCGAUGCACAGUCCUUGGCCUGGCUAUGACUUCCGCCAUCUCAGGGAACUGGAGGAGGCCACCCCCAGGCCACCAGCCCAGCUGGGCCCAGGGACACUGCACUUCUCCCAAGCUCCCAGCCCUGGGCAGUCUAGACUGUGCCCUGACCUCCUCCUCACCUAAUGCUUGUGGAUUUCCAGUCUCUCAAGUACAGGCUUCUGGAAGUCACCUGGGCAGGCCUGCAAGAGGAAAAGUCACCAUGUUCCUGUGCCAACUGGCAGUAGGCAGGUUCUGCUGCGUCAGGGCAAGAGUAGACCUGCAGUGUCCACACAGCCUGCCAAGCUGGUGGCUGGGUAAGCUGGUCACUGAGUGCCCUGGCCUAAAGCAGUGCUCUUCAGA